GCUCCAGUGGUGCAAUCGGUCAGUCAGCGCGCGGUACUUAUAAUGCCGAGGUUGUGAGUUCGAGCCUCACCUGGAGCA